rnacentral:lncRNA from 1 species
ACAAAAAUCUCUAUUAAUAAAGAAAAAGAGAAACUAAUUUAUAUGUUACAUGAGAAAGAAUUGGAUCCUAAAAGAAGAGGGUUAGAACUUUGUACAAGGUUAGAUGGUACUACUGUCGGACUCCGGUGCUUUACAAUCGAAAAACAUGUGCUCGGGAGCUGGAAAAAUAUGCCAAUGAAUGAUGAACGCCAAUGCGAGUUCUAUUGCAAUAGAAGACAUGUCCCGCUUCAAAAUUUCAUGUUGAAUUGAAGAAUCAGAUCCAUUAUCUUCAUAGCAAGCAUUAGAUGCAGAUAGAUUCUCAAGCAUUCUCAGUAGGCAUCCAUGCUGGGUCUAAAUUUGUCCAUUCCAGAAUAUUUUGCUGUGAUUUUUUCCGCAACAUGCCAUCAAAGAAUCAUCUCCUAAGCCUUUUUAUGUACAAAGAUCAGCCUGUAGCAAGAAUUCCCAAUCCUGCCGCAUUAAAUGACCUCAAGAGGCUAAUUAUCACAGCAUCAUCUUGGAAAGGGAGUUUACUUCAAUCUCAAAAGCAGUCCACGUAUUACACGCGAGUGGAUCUCUGCUCUUCGGCUGAGAAUGAUGUCAGUGCAAAGGAGUGAACAAACACGAUCUUCAAUUAUCUCUUCUGCACUCUUCCUUGUCAAGUCAAUGUCCUUAUCCUUCUCCAUUUCAGCCUCUUCCUCAGCUUUCUUCUUUGUUAUCUUUUUCACUCUUCCUUCUCAACUUACUUCCUUUACCCUUCUCCAUUCCAGCCUCUUUCUCAGCUUUCUUCUCCAUUUCAGCCUCUUUCUCAGCUUUCUUCUUCUCCAUCUCUGCUUGUUUGAUAUUUUCUUCAUGAGCUUUGAGAAACAACCUUAUAAAAUUUAACAUAGUUGCAGUAACUGCAAUUAAGAAAACGAAAAGUUAACUUGAGCAUUACAAAACAAAUAUCAGAUUAUAU